rnacentral:rRNA from 1 species
AAUCAACGCUGGCGGCGUGCCUAACACAUGCAAGUCGAACGAGAAAGUGUAGCAAUACAUGAGUACAGUGGCGACCGGGUGAGUAACACGUGACUAACCUACCUUCUUGUGGGGAAUAACCUUCCGAAAGGAGGGCUAAUACCGCAUAACAUCGCGAGGUGAGAUUCCUUGUGAUCAAAGGAGCAAACCGCAGGCAGAGGGGGGCGCGGCUGAGUGGCAAGUUGGGGAGGGAACGGCUCACCAAGGCAGGGAUCAGUAUCCGGACGGAGAGGGCGCACGGAAACACGGGAGCGGAACCACGGGCCAGACUCCUAGGGGGGGCAGCGGUGGGGAAAUUUGCGCAAUGGGUGAAACCCUGACGCAGCAACGCCGCGUGGAGGAUGAAGGUCUUUGGAUUGUAAACUCCUUUCGAUCGGGACGAUGAUGACGGUACCGGAAGAAGAAGCACCGGCUAACUCUGUGCCAGCAGCCGCCGCAGUA